rnacentral:rRNA from 1 species
UACGUAGGGACCGAGCGUUGUCCGGAUUCAUUGGGCGUAAAGAGCUCGUAGGCGGCUGCUCAAGUCGAAUGUGAAAACUCGAGGCUCAACCUCGAGCCUGCAUUCGAUACUGGGCGGCUAGAGUCUGGUAGGGGGAUCUGGAAUUCCUGGUGUAGCGGUGGAAUGCGCAGAUAUCAGGAGGAACACCGGUGGCGAAGGCGGUUCUCUGGGCCUGACCUGACGCUGAGGAGCGAAAGCGUGGGGAGCGAACAGG